rnacentral:rRNA from 1 species
AGUGAACGCUGGCGGCGUGCCUAACACAUGCAAGUCGAGCGGGAUCUUGCAGAGUAUCGCAAGGUCUAGCGGCAAACGGGUGAGCAACACGUAGGGAACCUUCCCUUAAAUGAGGGAUAACUCCGGGAAACCGGAGCUAAUACCUCAUAUGACCACGGCCUGGCAUCAGGCUGAGGUGAAAGGUCCGCAAGGAUCGUUUAGGGUUGGCCCUGCGUCCUAUCAGCUUGUUGGUGAGGUAAUGGCUCACCAAGGCUAUGACGGGUAGCCGGCCUGAAAGGGCGACCGGCCACACUGGAACUGAGACACGGUCCAGACUCCUACGGGAGGCAGCAGUGGGGAAUUUUGGACAAUGGGCGAAAGCCUGAUCCAGCAACGCCGCGUGGAGGAUGAAGGUCUUCGGAUUGUAAACUCCUUUUAGAGGGAACGAAAAAAAUGACGGUACUCUCAGAAAAAGCCACGGCUAACUACGUGCCAGCAGCCGCGGUAAUAC